rnacentral:rRNA from 1 species
UAUUAAUGCCCCCAACUAUCCCUAUUAAUCAUUACCCUAGUCCUCGCGCUGCCAAAACCAACUGAAAAUAGGAGGACAGGGUCCUAUUCCAUUAUCCCAUGCUAAUGUAUUCGGUGGCAGAAAAUUGGAUCUGCCUGCUUUGAACACUCUAAUUUUUUCACGGUAAACGAUCUGGG